rnacentral:tRNA from 1 species
GCCGGGAUGGCGAAACUGGCAGACGCAGCGGACUUAAAAUCCGCAGGCCCGAAAGGGCUGUGGGGGUUCAAGUCCCCCUCCCGGCACCA